AUUGAACGCUGGCGGCAGGCCUAACACAUGCAAGUCGAGCGGCAGCGCGGGGGCAACCCUGGCGGCGAGCGGCGAACGGGUGAGUAAUACAUGGGAAUCUGCCUGGUAGUGGGGGAUAACUCUGGGAAACUAGAGGUAAUACCGCAUACGUCCUACGGGAGAAAGGGGGGGAUCUUCGGACCUCUCGCUAUCAGAGGAGCCCAUGUCCGAUUAGCUAGUUGGUGAGGUAAAGGCUCACCAAGGCGACGAUCGGUAACUGGUCUGAGAGGAUGGUCAGUCACACUGGAACUGAGACACGGUCCAGACUCCUACGGGAGGCAGCAGUGGGGAAUAUUGGACAAUGGGGGCAACCCUGAUCCAGCCAUGCCGCGUGUGUGAAGAAGG
rnacentral:rRNA from 1 species